CCUACGGGAGGCAGCAGUGAGGAAUAUUGGUCAAUGGGCGUAAGCCUGAACCAGCCAAGUCGCGUGAGGGAUGAAGGUUCUAUGGAUCGUAAACCUCUUUUAUAAGGGAAUAAAGUGUGGGACGUGUCCUGUUUUGUAUGUACCUUAUGAAUAAGGCUCGGCUAACUCCGUGCCAGCAGCCGCGGUAAUACGGAGGAUCCGAGCGUUAUCCGGAUUUAUUGGGUUUAAAGGGUGCGUAGGCGGCCUUGUAAGUCAGCGGUGAAAGUCUGUGGCUCAACCAUAGAAUUGCCGUUGAAACUGGGAGGCUUGAGUAUGUUUGAGGCAGGCGGAAUGCGUGGUGUAGCGGUGAAAUGCUUAGAUAUCACGCAGAACCCCGAUUGCGAAGGCAGCCUGCCAAGCCAUGACUGACGCUGAUGCACGAAAGCGUGGGGAUCAAACAGGAUUAGAUAUCCGUGUAGUC
rnacentral:rRNA from 1 species